rnacentral:miRNA from 1 species
GACCGACCUUCUGGUUGGCCUGGGACUGAGGGGUUUCCCAGGAGGUGUGACUUAGAGUUUUUAAAACUGAGACAG